rnacentral:lncRNA from 1 species
UAGAGGAUAGGAAAGGCAACAGAACACGACACUAGUAUGGCAGUAUGUAAAAAAGUGGAUGUGUAACCGAUGUGAUUCUGCAAUCUGUAUACGGGGUAAAAAUGGGAGUUCAUAACCCACUUGAAUCAAAUGUAUGAAAUAUGAUGUGUCAAGAACUAUGUAAUGUUUUGAACAACUAAUAAUAAAAAUUUGAAAAAAAACAGCCCUAGACAACCAAGGAUAUUCUGCUAAAAGCACUCCUUGCAUAAGGGUUCUGAUGCCAGCUGAAAUUACUUAAUUUGUCUGACAGGUCUAGCAUUAGUAUGUUAAAGGUGACACUGGCCACCUGCCUUCUUUCGUUCUUGGGAGCGUUUCCUCUCUUACCCACCACUCCACCACUGUCCCCUGAAAGGGGAUAGAUGAAUUGAGGACUUGUUGCCUAACUCUCUCCUCCCCAAAAAAUAGUUAACAUAAAAUCAAUUUUAUCUUAAAGGGCCACUGUAGCAUUCAGUUUUAGUUUAAUCAGAAAAUUGAAUUGUCCUUGUCAUUGUUGGCUUAAUUCUUCCUUGGAAUCCUAUGGGAAAUGGAAAUUUUGAUAAAUAGCUCAGAAAUAUAAACA